rnacentral:rRNA from 1 species
AUUGAACGCUAGCGGGAUGCCUUACACAUGCAAGUCGAACGGAGUGGCGAACGGGUGAGUAAUGUAUCGGAACGUGCCCAGUCGCGGGGGCUAACUACGCGAAAGCGUAGCUAAUACCGCAUACUAUUGGAGCGGCCGAUAGCGGAAGAGCUAGUUGGUGGGGUAACGGCUCACCAAGGGGACGAUCCGUAGCUGGUUUGAGAGGACGACCAGCCACACUGGGACUGGGACACGGCCAAGACUCCUACGGGAGGAAGCGUGGGGGAAUUUUGGACGAGGGGGGAAACCCUGAACCAGCCAUCCCGCGUAUGCGAUGAAGGCCUUCGGGUUGUAAAGCACUUAUGGUAGGAAAGCGGUACCUGCAGAAUAAGCGCAGGCUAACUACGUGCCAGCAGCCGCGGUAAUAC